AUAACAAUUCACAAGAAUUAUUGACAAACCUGAUUUGUACAAAAGAGUAGGUUAACAACAUAUUGUCUUCCUCCAUUUUUCAAUCUGUUGUUGCAUUUCCUUUAAUAAAGUAUCAUAAUUCGUUUGUAUCAUCUUAUCAAUAUCAAAGGAUAAUUUAAUUCCCAAAUAGUCAAUAUUGUCCCUUUCCCAUACAAAAUAAAAAAAUGCAAAGAUAGACG